GUGAGGAAUAUUGCGCAAUGGAGGCAACUCUGACGCAGCCAUGCCGCGUGCAGGAAGAAGGCGCUACGCGUUGUAAACUGCUUUUAACCGGGAAGAAACCCCAGGACGUGUCCUGGGUUGACGGUACCGGAGGAAUAAGCACCGGCUAACUUCGUGCCAGCAGCCGCGGUAAUACGAAGGGUGCAAGCGUUAUCCGGAUUCAUUGGGUUUAAAGGGUGCGUAGGCGGAGCGUUAAGUCAGUGGUGAAAUCCUGCAGCUUAACUGUAGACUUGCAAUUGAUACUGGCGCUCUUGAGUGCGCUUGAAGUGGGCGGAAUGUGCCGUGUAGCGGUGAAAUGCUUAGAUAUGGCACAGAACACCAAUUGCGAAGGCAGCUCACUAAGGCGAUACUGACGCUGAGGCACGAAAGCGUGGGGAUCGAACAGGAUUAGAAACCCCAGUAGUCC
rnacentral:rRNA from 1 species